AAAGGUACAACACAUAACCAAACCAAACCAAAAGCUCCAAAACAAAACAAAGGUUCUCUCUGUUUGAUAAAAUAUAACAUAAAUGCGGAUUGAACAGAACGAACAUCUCUCUUCCCCUACCCCAUCAUCCAUAAAUGCACACAUUUAAAGCCCCAGAUUUGUGUCCGUGAACCUUUUUUUUUUCCGAUUCUUGUACCUGGUUUUAAAUUAAUAUUCCCAACUUCCUUUGUUGUGAGGUGGUUGGAAAUUUUAAUGCAACUUCUUCAAUGCUACCACACCACUAGUGGCCAAGCCAUCUCUCUUUGUUGGGCAUUACCUUCUUAAAGAGACAUUCACCUCUCUCUCUCUGCUGCUCUGCAUUAUUAAUAUGUUCAUGUUGUUCUCCACUACCCAAUGCCCAUUUCCAAAUUGCCUUCUUUCUCUCCUUUUUUCCCUCUUUUAUUUGUUUUUGAUAACCCAAAUAAACCUUGUUGGGGUUUACUUUGAUAGUUUUGUUUGUGAUAUAUAAUCUAGCCUGAUAUGGUUUGGAAGUGACCAUUUGCUCUGUUCCUUCCAAACCAUGUAUUUUACUUCAUUUCUGCUUGCAGUCUUUUCUUUUUCUCUCUGUAUUUUGUUUUGUUAUGAUAAAAACGAAAAGGGUUUGUUUUGUAGCUUAUUUUGUGAAAAGAUAUUUGGUUUUUGUUCUUUUUUUGCUAUCCAAUUGAACCUUGUUGCUACACUUUGUUAGAUUUAUGGCAUAUAAUCUAAGCUUGAUAUGGUUUGGAAGUGAUCGUUUCUUCUGUUUCCUUCCAAAACCGUAGACUUCAUUUCACUUCGGCUUACAAUAUUUUCUUUUUUCUCUCUGUCUUUUGCUUUGUUUGUGUAAAGAUGAAAAGGGUUUGUUUGUUUUGUAGCAUAGUUUCUGAAAAGAUACAAGGAAGCCAAAGAGGUAAGAGAUGGAUCGGUUUAACGGGAUAUUGGUCCGGUUCAAUAAGAAAGUAGUGCUCUAAGUGCUUGAGCUCUGCUUUUUGAUUGAGCCGUGCCAAUAUCACGUGCCACUGUUCCUUUAUUAUUCUACCUUGCUGCCCCGUCAUCCAGGAUUUCAAGGAGUUACAAACUCAAAACAAGGGCGGUGGAGCCACAGACUGUCAGAUGAGUCACAAGAAAACUGGGAAAGAGAUGAAUUCAAAAUAAUACGUUCAUCAUAUCAUAUAAUUCAAAUUCUUAAUUUCAUACAGAGGAAACAAGAUUGUACAAGAAAGGCAGAAACAGCUCCCACAAAGAUAUGCAUUUAUUGUGCAUUUGAUGCCAUAGAACUGUAACUUACAAGUUGGCUCUUCAAGCCUCAAAGAAUUUUGUAUGGGGGCCCUACUUUGGCUGCUUCAGUGGCCAAUAUCCUCUAUUAAAAUGGAAGAUGGUAAUCAUAGCAAGGCUCUUCUCUCUCUCUCUCUUUCUCUCACUCACACACUCACACACUCUCUCUCUAAUCUCUCUAUUUGAUAUUGUAAUUCUCUAUACUCAGUACAGAAACUGGAAAAAAAAA